rnacentral:rRNA from 1 species
GGCCGUCCGAGUUGUAAUCUGGAGAAGCGUUUUCAGCGCCGGCCCGCGUACAAGUCCCCUGGAACGGGGCGUCGCAGAGGGUGAGAAUCCCGUCUCUGACGCGGUCGUGCCCGGCGCGUUGCGAUGCGCUCUCGAAGAGUCGAGUUGUUUGGGAAUGCAGCUCAAAACGGGUGGUAAAUUCCAUCUAAAGCUAAAUACUGGCGAAAGACCGAUAGCGAACAAGUACCGUGAGGGAAAGAUGAAAAGCACUUUGGAAAGAGAGUCAAACAGUACGUGAAAUUGUUGAAAGGGAAACGCUUGAAGUCAGUCGCGUCUCUCGGGACUCAGUCGCGCCCUCAAAGGYGCGGCGUACUUCCCGGGUCUGGACGGGCCAGCGUCGAUUUCGACCGUCGUACAAAGGCGUGAGGAACGUGGCACCUCCGGGUGUGUUAUAGCCUCGCGUUCCGUAUGCGACGGUGGGGAUCGAGGAUCGCAGCGCGCCUCUAACGGUCGGGGUUCGCCCACGUAACGCGCUUGGGACGCUGGCUUAAUGGCUUCAAGCGACCCGUCUUGAAACACGGACCAAGGAGUCUAACAUGCUCGCGAGUGUUCGGGUGGAAAACCCGCGCGCGUAAUGAAAGUGAAAGGUUGGGACCCUUUAAGUGGGGGCACCGACGCCCGGACUUGAGCUGCUGCGACGGUUCCGAGGCGGAGCGCGUAUGUUGGGACCCGAAAGAUGGUGAACUAUGCCUGAGUAGGGCGAAGCCAGAGGAAACU